rnacentral:piRNA from 1 species
UCUCCCCUAACAGGAAAANUGCCCAGAUGC